rnacentral:lncRNA from 1 species
ACUUAAGCUCAUCUUCUUCCUAUCACAACGAAGAAGUUGCUUGCCGCAAAGUGGUGUCACAACGGAGCAGCAAGACUGCACGAUGAUAGAAGCACUGGAAUGCCAAACAACUAGGCAACCAACUGCAACACAAAACAGUAAGAAUCAAUUCUCUUUUUCAUGAAUCGGUUAUCCAUAAGUAAUAUAAUCCAUUCUCAUUUCCAAAUUACAACCCAAAAAUCGAGAUUUUCUUACCAAAACAUGCACCCUGUGAUUGCUUCAUCUAACGUGGUUUUCCUUUCCCUUCCUCUCAUCCUACGAAGGAAACCCGCCUUGCUGCCUCCUGCAAAUUUGUCGUCACAAAUCCACUUAAAUGGCUC